rnacentral:rRNA from 1 species
GAAUUUUAGGCCUGGUUGGACGGUCUGCUCUAGGGUUUGUACUGUCCUGACUGGGUCUUACCUUCUGGUGAGCUGUCGUAUUGUUUACUCAGUGCGGCAGGGAACCAGGACUUUUACUUUGAAAAAAUUAGAGUGUUUAAAGCAGGCAUUCGCUUGAAUACAUUAGCAUGGAAUAAUAGAAUAGGACUUUGGUUCUAUUUUGUUGGUUUCUAGGACCGAAGUAAUGAUUAAUAGGGAUAGUUGGGGGCAUUAGUAUUUAAUUGUCAGAGGUGAAAUUCUUGGAUUUAUUAAAGACUAACUUCUGCGAAAGCAUUUGCCAAGGAUGUUUUCAUUAAUCAAGAACGAAAGUUAGGGGAUCGAAGACGAUCAGAUACCGUCGUAGUCUUAACCAUAAACUAUGCCGACUAGGGAUCAGGCAAGGAUAUUUUGACUUGUUUGGCACCUUAUGAGAAAUCAAAGUUUUUGGGUUCCGGGGGGAGUAUGGUCGCAAGGCUGAAACUUAAAGG